CCUACGGGAGGCAGCAGUGAGGAAUAUUGGUCAAUGGACGAGAGUCUGAACCAGCCAAGUAGCGUGAAGGAUGACUGCCCUAUGGGUUGUAAACUUCUUUUAUAAAGGAAUAAAACGAGGCACGUGUGCCUUUUUGCAUGUACUUUAUGAAUAAGGAUCGGCUAACUCCGUGCCAGCAGCCGCGGUAAUACGGAGGAUCCGAGCGUUAUCCGGAUUUAUUGGGUUUAAAGGGAGCGUAGAUGGGUUGUUAAGUCAGUGGUGAAAGUUUGCGGCUCAACCGUAAAAUUGCAAUUGAUACUGGCAGGCUAGAGUGUAGUUGAGGUAGGCGGAAUUCGUGGUGUAGCGGUGAAAUGCUUAGAUAUCACGAAGAACCCCGAUUGCGAAGGCAGCUUACCAAACUGUGACUGACAUUGAUGCUCGAAAGUGUGGGUAUCAAACAGGAUUAGAUACCCGGGUAGUC
rnacentral:rRNA from 1 species